rnacentral:rRNA from 1 species
GUGGGGAAUCUUGCGCAAUGGGCGAAAGCCUGACGCAGCCAUGCCGCGUGAAUGAUGAAGGUCUUAGGAUUGUAAAAUUCUUUCACCGGGGACGAUAAUGACGGUACCCGGAGAAGAAGCCCCGGCUAACUUCGUGCCAGCAGCCGCGGUAAUACGAAGGGGGCUAGCGUUGCUCGGAAUUACUGGGCGUAAAGGGCGCGUAGGCGGACAGUUUAGUCAGAGGUGAAAGCCCAGGGCUCAACCUUGGAAUUGCCUUUGAUACUGACUGGCUUGAGUACGGGAGAGGUGAGUGGAACUCCGAGUGUAGAGGUGAAAUUCGUAGAUAUUCGGAAGAACACCAGUGGCGAAGGCGACUCACUGGCCCGUUACUGACGCUGAGGCGCGAAAGCGUGGGGAGCAAACAGGAUUAGAUACCCUAGUAGUCC